rnacentral:rRNA from 1 species
UACGAAGGGGGCUAGCGUUGCUCGGAAUCACUGGGCGUAAAGCGCACGUAGGCGGAUCUUUAAGUCAGGGGUGAAAUCCUGGAGCUCAACUCCAGAACUGCCUUUGAUACUGGGGAUCUCGAGUCCGGAAGAGGUGAGUGGAACUCCGAGUGUAGAGGUGAAAUUCGUAGAUAUUCGGAAGAACACCAGUGGCGAAGGCGGCUCACUGGUCCGGUACUGACGCUGAGGUGCGAAAGCCAGGGGAGCAAACGGG